UUGAGAAAAUAGAAAGUUGAUCAAUUCGUCUUUCGAGAGAUUCGUAGGUGUAAUAUUUUAUAUGUAUGAUGUUCGAGGCAACGUGUCGAGGACGAAAACAUUGUAGAAAAGAUACGACCAGGAAGUCUAUAGAACGACAUAAAAUGAAGUCAGCGAAUCAAUUGAAUUGCUGAAUCAGGAUCCUCGUUCGAAUCAUUAGUUCGUUACGAGAUUGGUCUCGUCAAUCGAGUCGCCCUAAUCGAAAUUUUCUCUCUUGACCUAAAAUUCGAAUAUGAUUUCUGUUUUUACGAUCUUUACGUUCUACGCGUUAUUUUUUAUUACGUUCAUUAGCAUUCGUAACCUAGAAUCAUGGAAAAGUUGAGAUCACGUGAACGUUAUUAAAGUUACCCAAUAUUUCUGAUAGUUAUAACAAAUUGAAUAGAAUCGUACGCGAAUUUUUGCUCUGGUUAGACCAAUUAAUUUGCACAUUAUCAAUAGAGAAGAAUUGUGUGAAUAUGUUAGUUUGUCAGGUUUGACAAAUGUCUGUAAUCAAAGACCAGCAUGCGGUAGGUUCAUGUUAUCGCUCGUAGAUGAUUAUAUAAGUUCAGAUUACGCGAACGAGAAAUUAAUAUUCGCAGUUAUAAGACGUAUACUUUGCUAAAGAGAAGCUACGAUCGAAGGAUACGGUAGACGAAACAAAAAUAUUUAAUUCAACGUUUGUCUUUAGAUCCCUGAUGCAACGUGACGAAUGUAUCAUUUCGAAAUUUAAAUAUAAAUUUUUACCAACUUCGUUGAUAUUCUCGAGAAAGUAGAAUUUGUUAAAGUAAAUGAUACGAAUUAGCGUUUCAAGGAUCUGAGGAACGUUUCCCGGAUAUUCAUGCUGAUUUCUACGCCGCUGAGUGACGUGUCGACGACACGCGGACAUUUCCACGGUAGCAAACAUAACGAGGAAAGCGAAGAUAAGAGAUAAGAAGCGUGUCAAAACCGAUACUGUCACGAAAAAAGAAGAAACCGGCUGGUAACUUGUUAUACGUAUGCUCGUGCAUUUGCAACGAGUAACUUCUUUCCUAACGAUCGAUGUAGCGAACAGCAGAAAAGGAUCCAAUAGUAAACGAAAAAAAUUAAAUACAUAUAUAAAAUUAAAUAUAUAUAUAAAUAAAAUUAAAUAUAUAUAUAUAAUAAAAAGAAAGGUAUACUUAUACCAGUACAAGAAGGUAAAAAAAAUAUAUUCGUUAAGAAAAUGAAGCAUAAGGUAGAUCGUGAUUCUGAUAAGAAUGAAAAUAUUUACUUUCUCGAAUAUCCCGCCACUGUAACCGAUAAAAUAAAGCGACGAUUAAGACGCUGAUAACGAACGUGCCGCAUUCGUACUCUCGUAUAAUAAUGCGCAAUAGACUUUAUCUAAUCCCGUCAUGAGCUACAGAGAACAACGAUAUACAUAUAGCAUUCUAUAUUUGGGCAUUCAAAAUAUUUUAGGCAACUCGCGCGCAUGUGCAUGCGACACCGCGUGCUUGAUACUUCGAGGAACACGGAACCGAGGAACCUUCGUAACAAGAAAGAACAUUACGAAGGAAAGCUUAUCGAUGGUAGACAAUCGGUCGAUACGUCACAGCACGUCAAUGACGAAUUAACCACUUGUCCGUUGAACGCGGGAUUAUUCAUCGUUUAAAAUUAGUACUUUUUUCCUCGAUCGGCCGUGAUUGUCUUAUCGAGCGUGUAAUUCAACGUGAAUCGGUCAUCGAGAUAAGGUAAGGAUGAUCAGCCUCAUUACACACGUGCUCCUAUGUGAGUGCACAGACAAAUCGAUGCGAUCCAUACAUCGCUGAUCUGUCACGUUUUCAAGCGGAAUAAUAUUUGUUAUUUCUGUGUACGAGACCGAGAGACCUUCGAGACGAAACACAAAAAUAUUUCGAAUGCAUUUUCGAAGGUUAAUCAUUUGUUCAUUAUCUAGAAAGCGCCUGAAUUGUCGAAACCUGUGUGAUCGUCGCUAUGAAACAAUGAGGUUCCAUCAGUAUCAUAUUCGGUCACGUUUUAUCCUAACACUUGCAUGCCCGUAAGCUAGAAUGACAUCGAUAGCGGACGAUACAUCAUAGUGUGAGGUCAGGCGAAACACGUGACUAGACUGACGUGAUGCACGCAAAAGGUUGCACGAGAGAUCGCUCAUUACUGUUAUCUUUUUAUCUCGGCGAGAUGCUAGAUACGAUAAACGAGGCAAAAACUUCAUACGGAAGCGGCUCGUUUGCGUUCUCUCAGUAUCUCGCGAUCGUAAUCAUUGAGUUUUUGAAGUAAAUCGAGCAGAGAAUGCAUUCUGACAGAGUAUGGAGAAAAGAAAAAGAACAAUAACCACGUAUAUCUCGAGAGAACCAUAAAUCGACUCGGGGAACGUUAGGCUGUUUGAACUUUACCGAAACGUGUUUCUGUAGUCCCGACACACAUUCGAGUACCUAUCUAACGUGCGACGUGUUCGAAGUAUUCAAAGGUUUUUUCAAUGUGUGCCGCGUUUUAAUUGCGACUUAAUUAUUCACGAGUCUCGCGUUACUUUGUAGCCGGAAAGCGACCACAAAUGCAAGGCUAGGAAGAGGGGGGUUAUGUGAUUACAAGCGAGGCAGGGAACCGUGAAACAUGUUUCUUAUUCGCGGUUUCGAUGCCGCGUUGUAAUUAAUGCUCUAUCGAGUUUUGUCAUUAAACGUAUAGUAUACGAAAAUAUUAGUCUGUUGGUACGUUAUGAUACAAGUUUAUUGAAUCACUGCUUUCUCGCAAAUGGACAAUGACAGUGGGCCCUUGAGUUGCUUUUUUCAUUUUUUUUUCUCCUUUUGAAUCGCGUAUGUGGUAAGGUACCAAAAUUCCUUUCACGCCCGUGGCUCGUUUUCACAUUUUCAAUGUAGCCAUUGACAGAAUGGUAAUCAUGAUGACAAUAAUAGUAAUAAUAAUUCAUGACAAUAAUUAAUAAUAGCGACAAUAAUAAUAAUGAUAGUAAUAAUAAUAAUAUACAAUAAUAACGAGAUAUGCUAACUGUCGAUAUAUCAAGAGAUAACAAGUAAAAUAUACAUAUGGUCGUUUCUUCGUAGAUUUCUUCUCGAUAUAGCAAUCAAAUGACGAAAACAAUUUUCAUAUUUUCCCGCGUUUCGUCUCGAACGAUAUACAUCUAAUUCUUACGAAAUUUUGCCUUUGAUUUGCGAUAUGGUUGCUGUGAUGCAAAUGAUUAAUGAUUAACGCGCAUAGGUUAGGUUCGGCUCCUACAAAUAUCCAUCUCUUUCUCUGACAAAUUUUCUCGAUCAUUUUCCGCUUGCGCUCUCUUUUUCUUUUACAUAUUCUCUUUCAUACUCGUACAUACACUCUCUCUUUCUCUCUUACUCUCUCACUCUCUCACUCUCAGAUUCGUUUAUCAAAUUUUAGAGCUGCUCUCUGCGGUACUAAUUAAUCGAGUCAUAUAUAUGUAUAUAGUCGCAAUAUAUAUAUAUAUAUAUACAAUACAUGUUUCGUGACAGCGAACAGGCCGUCGCAGCACAAUAGUUUAAAUUACUUAUACGAACGAUCUUCGUAACAAAAAACAUCUUCGAUCUGUUCAUAAUUCAUAAAAAUUGUAUUAUUUCGUUUCUAAGAUGCCCGUCGAUCUAGUUUCCUUUCAUCGUUUCGACUUAUCACCUCAUUUCGAAUCGAUGUCUCAGAUUUUUGACCCAUGAUUCAUUCUUUAAACUAACAUAAUUUUCAAAAAGAUUUUCUCCAUCGAUUUGGUCGAGAGGAGAAACAAGAUGGCACGGGCAUCGUGUACCUUUCGAUUCGCACAAAAUUCAUCACGCGCAUGAGCGUUUUUUCUAUUUUCAUCCUAACAUUUGCCGUCGAUUUAAGUAUUCGAGAUGGUACGUAAAAGUGCUAGCGUGUAGGUACAAAGAGGAAAAUAUAUAUGUAUAUUAAUUAGCGUAGGAUGAAAAUAGCGAGUCUUUUCUUUUUUGGAAAAAUAGCUUCGAAACGGUUUGUUAGUCGCCCGUCUAGCUUCGAACAUACGACGCGUCGAAGGGGCGCGAGCCAAGAGGAUUUUAGACGAUUAACUGUGACGAUCGCAAUCUAUAAUGCUCUUCUCUUUUAUUUACAAAUUCAUCUAGAUAUACAAGCUAUGCCUGAGGCUAGAAAAAAUGCGAUCACUCGAGCGCAGGGAGAUUGAUUCUCGAUCGCGACAUGAACUCGAGAUUUUUAACUCGAUCUCCGUGCCACCGCGUGAAAAAAGUCGACGUACGUUUACAUCGCACAAAGACAAUUUUUUCAUCGUAUCAUUUAUUCAUUUAUUUUGUUCUAUUAAAGAGGAUUCCAGAGGGAAACGGCUCAAAAAUGUAUACAAGUAAUUUUCCUUGUAAAAACUCCGUUAAUCUAUCGAACGUUGCGAAUCACCAAAACGACGUCACAUUCGUUUUAUCGAUGAAUUUAUGCAUAUAUCAAUUGCAUUAUAUUCAUUGCAAAGUUGUGCACGCUCUUAAAUAUUCAUCGGAGAAAUACAAAUGAUGCCCAGGUUAACUUUUGAACCGUACGCACCUAGAAAAAAAAUUGAUUAUCGAAACGUUUCUCGAUCAUAAAUAACUUCUAUCUGAUUCUCAACCGACUGGUGAUAACAAGAGUAACGUUUAUUUAUUUUUCUAAAUAGAUCUUUUUAUCCAUCUAACACAUCACAUUACCGAAUUACUUCUUUUUCCUUUUUUUUUUUUUUUUUUU